rnacentral:rRNA from 1 species
AUUGAACGCUGGCGGCAGGCUUAAAACAUGCAAGUCGAGCGAGCGGAGGACGGGUGAGUAAUGUCUGGGAAACUGCAUGAUGGAGGGGGAUAACUACUGGAAACGGUAGCUAAUACCGCAUACCAUCAGAUGUGCCAAGAUGGGAUUAGCUAGUAGGUGGGGUAAUGGGUCACCUAGGCGACGAUCCCUAGCUGGUCUGAGAGGAUGACCAGCCGCACUGGAACUGAGACACGGUCCAGACUCCUACGGGAGGCAGCAGUGGCGAAUAUUGCACAAUGGGCGCAAUCCUGAUGCAGCCAUGCCGCGUGUGUGAAGAAGGCCUUCGGGUUGUAAAGCACUUUCAGCGAGGAGGCGUUACUCGCAGAAGAAGCACCGGCUAACUCCGUGCCAGCAGCCGCGGUAAUUC